rnacentral:rRNA from 1 species
AAUCAACGCUGGCGGCGUGCCUCAGACAUGCAAGUCGAACGAUUAAAGCUCUCUUCGGAGAGUGUAUAGAGUGGCGCACGGGUGAGUAACACGUAAGUAAUCUACCUUUGAGUGGGGAAUAACGUUCGGAAACGAACGCUAAUACCGCAUAAUGCAGCGGCACCGCAAGGUGACAGUUGUUAAAGGAGCAAUCCGCUUAAAGAGGAGCUUGCGGCAGAUUAGCAGUUGGUAAGGUAAUGGCUUACCAAGGCUACGAUCUGUAACCGGUCUUAGA